GACGAAGGAUGCAAGCGUUUAUCCGGAUUCAUUGGGUUUAAAGGGAGCGUAGGUGGCCUUAUAAGUCAGUGGUGAAAUCUCUGGGCUUAACCCAGAAAUUGCCAUUGAUACUGUAGGGCUUGAGUAUAGUUCCGUUGGCGGAAUAUGACAUGUAGUGGUGAAAUACAUAGAGAUGUCAUAGAACACCGAUUGCGAAGGCAGCUAACGAAACUAUAACUGACACUGAGGCUCGAAAGUGCGGGGAUCAAACAGG
rnacentral:rRNA from 1 species